GGGCCGUUAGCUCAGCCCGGUUAGAGCGUUACACUGAUAAUGUAAAGGUCAAUGGUUCGAAUCCAUUACGGCCCA
rfam:Candidatus Curtissbacteria bacterium RIFCSPHIGHO2_12_FTLL_38_9b rifcsphigho2_12_scaffold_105988, whole genome shotgun sequence.